AUGAAAUUAAGUUUCUGAAGAGUAUAUAUGAAAAUUCAGAUGUUGCAGGGAUUUACUCGCAGAAAAAUAAUUUUUCUGUGGUAAAUAUCUUGUUUUUUCUCUUUUAACAUUGCAAUCUGUUUCACUCGGACUCUCAUCUUUGAAUGUCAAAAGCGUAAUACUGGGAUGUCCAUGUUGCAGGUUGGGAACUACAUACAUAAUAUGGCUACGUUUGUGGGUGGUCUUAUUAUUGGUUUGAUUAACUGUUGGCAAGUGGCACUUCUCACACUAGGCACUGGGCCCUUUAUCGUCGCUGCAGGAGGAAUAUCGAAUAUAUUUCUUCACAGACUUGCUGAAAAUAUUCAAGAUGCAUAUGCUGAGGCAGCCAGCAUUGCUGAACAGGUUCUCUUAUGAUGCCUUUAACUUACAUGUUGUGAGCUUCACAAUUUUAGCCAGCUUUAGAUUUAGAAUUAUAUCAUACUCACUUCAUUAUCUUAUAUUUGUAAAGUUUUUUCUUUUGGUCUCUAAAUUGAUAUUCGUUAUCUUUUAAAAUUAGUCCUCUUUCUUUUGAUUCGUUUCUGUCCAUUUUAUGGAAUGUUAUAUUGACAACAUUAAUUACGUAGGAAAUAAAAUGAAAACAGGUUGAAAACAAAAUGAAAAAUAAGGGUUGAGAAGAAAAAAAAAAAAUAGGUGCAGUCAUGUGCUGAAACAAAUAGCUGUAUGAUGUAUAUUGGCUUUUGUAGAUUGCUAAGUAAAACACUGCAGUAGUUUUUCUGGAAACUAAAACAGAUAAUUAGUUAAUCUGAUUGAUAAUGGCAUGUUAGCACCAGAACUUCUGCUGAGCGAUAAUUUUUUGUCAAUGAUGCAGGCCAUCUCAUACAUUAGGACCUUAUAUGCUUUUACAAAUGAAACUCUUGCAAAGUACUCAUAUGCUACCUCACUUCAAGCAACAUUGCGAUAUGGGAUAUUGAUAAGUCUUGUUCAAGGACUUGGCCUUGGAUUCACGUAUGGACUUGCGAUAUGCUCCUGUGCUUUGCAACUUUGGGUUGGGAGGUACCUGAUUUCACAUGGAAAGGCUAAUGGUGGUGAAGUUAUAGUAGCUCUGUUUGCCGUUAUCCUGAGUGGCCUGUAAGCACUUAUUUUGAACGGAUUCAUUAUGUUUUCCAUCUUAUCACUUUUCUCAUUUUAGCUUAUUCUAUUUGUAGUGGACUGAAUCAAGCAGCCACAAACUUCUAUUCCUUUGAGCAAGGGCGAAUUGCUGCUUAUAGACUUUAUGAGAUGAUAAGCCGUUCGACCUCAACUGUUAAUCAGGAUGGCAAUACCUUAGCUUCAGUACAAGGAAAUAUCGAGUUCAGAAAUGUUUAUUUCAGUUACCUCUCCCGUCCUGAAAUUCCUAUACUUAGUGGGUUCUACCUUACUGUUCCUGCUAGAAAAACUGUGGCUCUUGUUGGUAGAAAUGGUUCAGGAAAAAGCAGCAUAAUUCCUCUGAUGGAACGCUUCUAUGAUCCUACAUUAGGUAUAUUCGCCAUGUAAUAACUGUUAGUUAACUUUCGCUUAAUUUGCCUUUCUUGUAAGUUUUAGUGAAGAAGGAUUUUUCAUUUUCUGGUGCAGGUGAAGUCCUGUUGGAUGGAGAAAACAUAAAAAAUUUGAAGCUAGAAUGGUUAAGAAGCCAAAUAGGGCUUGUGACUCAGGAACCAGCGUUAUUGAGUUUGAGCAUUAGGGAAAACAUUGCAUAUGGAAGAUCUGCUACAUUUGAUCAGAUUGAGGAGGCUGCUAAGACGGCACAUGCACACACAUUCAUCAGUUCACUCGAAAAGGGAUAUGAUACACAGGUAAGAGUACAUACCAUGCUCGUAUAUUUAUUAAUGUACCUCUAGGGAUAGGUGUCUCAAGUGUAAUGUUAUGCACCUUUUGGCAUGAACACAGAGAUCUUAAAAUCCUGUUGGGUUGCGUUAGUUAACUGCAAUUCCUGAAUAAUUAGCUAUUUACAUAUAUAACUCUGCAAAAACUAAAUUCUAAUAUGUACCCUGUGGAAACUUAAUUCUUUACUUGUAUAAUGCUGUAAUUACAGAAUUUCCUGGCUUAUGAAAAGAAAAGUUAUAAUACAAAGCCAACUUCUCCCCUUGGAUUGGAUGACUCCCCAACUUUAGAUGAACGUAUCUUCUUUAGAAGCUGCACUUUUGAGGGGCGUACAUGGAAAGCUCAUUUUUACAAGGGUAUAUAUGUGAAUAGACUAUUUUACAGGGAUAAUUUUGUAAAAGACCUAAGUUUUUUAACUAGAACAACUUAGGCUCCUCUUUUUUUUUUUUCUUUGUUUUUUAGCUGCUGUUUUCUCUUCUUUCUUCUAUGCUGAUUGAAUAAUGUACAUUUAGGUUGGUAGGGCUGGUUUAGCAUUGACCGAUGAACAGAAGAUAAAGCUUGCUAUUGCUCGGGCUGUUCUGUCGAAUCCGUCUAUUCUUCUCCUCGAUGAAGUCACGGGUGGCCUUGAUUUUGAGGCCGAAAAGGCUGUUCAGGAAGCGUUGGAUAUUUUGAUGUUAGGGAGAUCCACUAUUAUAAUAGCUAGGCGCCUUAGCCUUAUAAGAAAUGCUGACUAUAUAGCAGUGAUGGAGGAGGGUCAACUUGUUGAGAUGGGUACCCAUGAUGAAUUGCUGAACCUAGAUGGACUUUAUGCAGAACUUCUUAGAUGCGAGGAGGCAGUCAAACUCCCAAAGAGGUAAGAUACACUCUAUAUAAGCUUCUUUAUUAGUUCAUAUUUAUGGUACUCUCUUGUAACUUAAAAUUACUAUAUUUUCUCGGAUUUAGCUUAUGAUCUAUAUAAUUCUUGUACUAGGGGUACUUAAUGAUUGUGGCAUGCCAAUACUAGGAGUCCUUUAUUUUUUAUUUAUGUUGUAGGCUGUCUCUUAUGGCUUGUUAGUAGGAAACUCUACAUUUUGUGGAACAAUUUUGCAAGUUCUUUCAAUGCGGAAUUAUGUGGGCCAUGGUAUUCUCAUCUAAAAAUAAUUAGUUUUUGUAUCACUUAUGCCCAAUUGAUGAUUCAAGGUAAUUUUUGUUUUCCACACAUCUUCCAUUUUGAUGAUUUCAUGCUGUUAUAAUAUAUCUGAUAUCUUCUUCACUUGAUAUAUUUCUACGUGAAGAGAUCACGUGUACAGGCGUAUAGUCAUCUACUUUGUAUCGUCCUCAAAAUAACAAAGAAAAACUUAUGAUUUGUUAUGUAAUAAGCAACUACACUUGUGAGAUAAGGAUGGCUUCAGCACGGAAUUUAUUCUUGAUUUUCUCUAAACCCUUUUUCAGGACACCUAUCAGGAGCUACAAAGAGCCUGCGGCAUUCCAAAUAGAGAAGGACUCAUCAGCUAGCCACAGCUUCCAAGAAUCAUCCUCUCCUAAAAUGGCAAAAUCACCUUCACUUCAACGAACACAGGGAUUUCUCCCAUUCAGGCAGUCAGAUGUCAAUUACAGCAAUAAUUCCCACGAAUCCCCCAAGGUCCAAAGCCCACCUUCAGAGCAAAUGAUAGACAAUUCAAUUCCCUUGGUCUCUACAGAAAGAGUCCCGUCUAUUAAAAGGCAGGACAGUUUCGAAAUGAGAUUGCCUGAAUUACCCAAAAUUGAUGUCCAAACCAUACAGAGACAAUCUUCGAAUACUUCAGACCCAGAAUCACCGAUAUCUCCGCUUUUGACCUCUGACCCGAAGAAUGAGCGAUCACAUUCGAAGACUUUUAGCCGUCCAAUCAAUCAGUUUGAUGAUGCAUAUACAAAACACAAAGCGCCAAAGGAUGUGCAGCGCCAGAAACCUCCCUCUUUUUGGAGGCUUGCACAGCUCAGCUUUGCAGAAUGGCUUUAUGCUCUUUUAGGAAGUAUUGGUGCAGCGAUUUUUGGUUCGUUUAACCCGCUUCUUGCUUACACUAUUGCGCUGAUAGUGGCAGCAUACUACAGAAUUGGUGUCCAUGAUGUACAUCAUGAAGUAAAUAAGUGGUGCUUAAUUAUUGCGUGCAUGGGUGUUAUAACGGUGGUUGCCAACUUCUUGCAGCACUUUUAUUUUGGUAUAAUGGGUGAGAAGAUGACUGAACGUGUGAGGAGAAUGAUGUUCUCAGGUGAUUGUUGCAAUUUCGUAAACAGUACACUUUUAGGGGUCUUUACGUGUAUAUCACUGCGAAAUCAUAUAUUAUAGAUAGCAUUUUCAUAACAAGAACACCCUUGUCCAAGUUCUGUGUCAGAAUUUUCUUUCCCUCAAAGAGGGGCAUUAUUUUGUAAGUACAAAGGUAUAUACUGAAGAAAUCAAGUUCGAAUGAGUAUACAUGAAAACUUAAGAUUUUACUGUGAUAUAUGUGACUGCCUAUUUUGCCUGGCUUCCGGAAGAGUGUUUCUACUCCAGGAACUCAGGAAGUAGAAUUUUUUUUAGUCACCAGGCCUAUGGCAAACAAAAAGUCUUAAGUUAUUGCUAUAGCGGGGAUCUUUUUUUGUCUGAAAGCACAGGCUCUAAUUUAAAGCUUCUGCUUUUAUUAAAGUGGGAAGCUACUGAGAUGAUUUAGGUAUAGUGUUAUUAGUGCUUUCUUGCAGAGGUAUAUAUGGAAACAUCAUGCAUUCUAACUAAUUUCAAAUGUCCUUUUUCAGCAAUGCUACGUAAUGAAGUUGGGUGGUUUGAUGAAGAGGAGAACAGUGCUGAUACACUGUCCAUGCGUCUAGCAAAUGACGCAACCUUUGUUCGCGCCGCCUUCAGCAACCGUCUUUCAAUUUUCAUACAAGACACAGCUGCAGUUGUUGUGACUCUGGUUAUCGGCAUGUUGUUGGAGUGGCGGGUGGCGCUUGUUGCCCUAGCAACUGUACCUAUCCUUACAAUCUCUGCUAUUGCACAGGUUAGCAUACAUCAUAUCUCUGUAUAGUAGUAUCUCCUUGUGUGUCGCCUGCAAAAGUGCUCUGACAUUUGUUUGUUGCCCUAUGGAUUGGUUGCUUCAACAUAAACAUUUGGCAAACUAAUAAAUCUGCAAGAGCCAGUUCCUAUACAGAACUAUGUUUGCCUUAGUUCCAUUUUUGUUAUAGCUUUCCCUUAUCCAGUUAACCUUACCUUAUUACAAAUUGACUCAGAUGCCCUCAUAAAGGUGCAACUACUGUUGCUGAGGUGUGUACAGUACCAAUGUUUUUAGGGGUACUUGCGCAAAAACUUUUAAGGGUAUACAUGCAUUAGAAAGAAACAUUUCUUUUUUCACUUUCCCUGUUUCACUUAACACCUUGCAUGCCUACGUUGCUGCCAGCUAGUUUUUUAUGCAUGAAAAUUUGACACUGCUACUUUGUUUCACUAAUUCUUCAUUUAACUCAUAAAAAUAAACAUUUGCUGUAAGAAUCAUGGCAUUAUCAUAUACUCGUACUUAGUGUUUUAGUUCUUUGAAGCUGACUGGGAACUAUCUUGCAGAAAAUGUGGCUUGCUGGAUUUUCAAGGGGAAUUCAAGAGAUGCAUAGAAAGGCCUCUUUAGUCCUUGAAGAUGCAGUCAGAAAUAUUUACACUGUUGUGGCAUUCUGUGCUGGUAACAAGGUAAUGGAACUUUACAGUUUACAGCUCGAUAAAAUAUUCAAGAAGAGUUUCCUUCACGGAAUGUUCAUCGGUUUUGCCUUUGGCUUGUCACAAUUCCUCCUUUUCGCUUGCAACGCCCUUCUUCUCUGGUACACUGCCAACUCUGUUCACAAAGGCCGGCUCUCGAUUUCUACAGCUCUUAAAGAAUACAUGGUCUUCUCAUUUGCAACCUUUGCCCUGGUGGAGCCAUUUGGACUCGCUCCAUAUAUACUUAAAAGGCGAAAAUCCCUAACUUCAGUAUUUGAAAUCAUCGAUCGAGUGCCUAAAAUUGACCCAGAUGACAAUAGUGGCUUGAAACCCCCUAACGUGUAUGGAAGCAUCGAACUAAGAAAUGUCGAUUUUGCUUACCCAACUCGCCCUGAAGUAAUGGUUCUAAGUAAUUUCAGUCUUAAAGUUAGCGGGGGCCAAACAGUAGCAGUGGUUGGUGUAUCAGGAUCCGGGAAAAGCACGAUCAUUUCUCUAAUUGAGAGAUUCUAUGACCCGACUGCUGGCCAAGUUCUACUGGAUGGCCGAGAUUUGAAGUCAUUUAAUUUAAGAUGGUUAAGAAGCCACAUGGGUUUGGUUCAGCAGGAACCCAUUAUAUUCUCCACAACAAUACGAGAGAACAUUAUAUAUGCAAGGCACAAUGCAACUGAAGCUGAAAUGAAAGAAGCAGCGAGAAUAGCAAAUGCCCACCAUUUUAUAAGUAGUUUACCACAUGGUUAUGAUACUCAUGUGGGCAUGAGAGGGGUCGACUUGACACCCGGACAAAAGCAGAGGAUUGCGAUUGCACGUGUAGUGUUGAAAAACGCUCCAAUAUUAUUGCUGGAUGAGGCCAGCUCAGCAAUCGAGUCUGAGUCAAGUCGGGUGGUUCAGGAGGCUCUCGACACGUUGAUCAUGGGGAACAAAACCACUAUUCUAAUCGCGCAUAGAGCUGCUAUGAUGAGGCAUGUGGACAACAUUGUUGUAUUGAAUGGCGGCAGGAUCGUUGAGCAGGGCACACAUGACUCUUUAGUGCAGAUGAACGGCCUUUACGUUCGGCUCAUGCAGCCUCAUUUCACUAAGGGAAUCCGGCAGCAUCGACUAAUGUAAAUCACUUAAGGUUGAUCUUCACAUGUGAAAUUUUUUCAGCCCUUCGAUUGAGUUCUCUCUCACAUCACGGAAUAGCUGAAUGAGAUCAUCUGUCACUCUGUGGCAGCUUGUGUGGAAUGGAUGAGAUGGAGAACUUCAGCGAAUUCGGGGUCGGGUUCGGGUUUGAGACACGGUUUGUUGUAGUGGGUAGGAGUUAUAUAUUCCGAAAUAGUUAACGCGGGCAUGGAGACAUUGAGCAAUAGAGUUUGGUGGUGGAAUAUUUUAAGUCUUUGGUUUAUUGUACUUAUUCUUUGGGAGGCAUGCGUUGUUGUAGUUAAUAUUUCUGCGGCUCCACGCCAUGUAAGAAUUCAAAUCUGUUUAUAGCUCUACUAACAAUGAGGCUUCUUCAUCCUGGUUGCAGCUGUUUGCUAUCCUUUUUUUCUUUCUUUCUUUCUUUCUUUCUUUUGCGUGUGUGUGUGUGUGUUAUUAUGUUGGGGCCAUUUCAUUUUAUUUGAGGAUUGGUUUUGAACAUGUGAAGGAGAAGGCAUGUUCUAUGUUUUAUUUAUUUUAUUUUUUUUGAAGGUAGGAUUAGUGCAUGAACCUGCGUCUGAUUCGCAGCUGCAACUGCAGAAGUUGAUCAGAUAUUUUUAAACCUCUUCUUGGUUCAUAUAAACUAGUUUUUCCUCCCACUUUCUUCGAGUCGAAUGCGUUAUCAUCUUGCCCUUGCAAUCAGUGUUUAGGCACAUGAAUGUUACCCCCCAAGCAACUUACUUCCAGGGCCUGUAACGCAUGUGGAGUUUCUGCGAGGGGUUGUGGCUCAGAAGCGCUCUUCGCAGAAGCACCACAAUCUAGUUUUAUUGCUAAAAUUAUCCUCUAGUAGCUUCUGUCUGUUGCAAGGGCAGAAUCUUUAAAUUAAAGCUUUAUGCUACAGCAAAAGCGCCAAGUGUUUGAUCGCCUCUUUGCAUUUUAGAGCAGCCAAUCGGUAUGAAGAUGCGUACCAACUAAAUAUAGUCAUAAGAACGGUCGAAAAAUGUAGUCAUAACAUCGGUCGAAAAGAAAAGAAAGAAAGAAGCAUUAAAAGCUUAGUUGGAACAAGAGCAAAAGUAGAACAAGAGGUAUUUGAAAAAGAAGAUAUGAAUUAUAUACAGUACAACAAGAAAAAAAAAAAUCACUCAUUUAUUAAAUGAAAGAGCCGAAUAUAUUCUCGGUCGUAAUUCAUAUGUCUAGCAUCCUGAAAGAGUCAGCUACCACUUUGAGCUUGCUGCGAACUCGCGUCCACCGUCUCUCAUUUGCACCGACAACCAGCGUGUAGUACCGACCUUCCAAGGAAAAAAGAAUGAUAGAGUGGUCAUUUCUCAAAAAACACUUGGCAUUUGCCAAAUAUGGUUUCCUCUCACAAAUUUCAGUAAUCUGAUAGAAAUGGAAGAUACAUUAAUAAUUCCGUGUCGCAGUCCAAUUUACAUUCUAUGAAGAUACAUUCUCAGUUUUAUUUUUUUGUCAGUGCAGGUCACUAGAAUGAUAAGUAAUUUGAAUCAUCUGGUUAGAUUGGAAGCCCCAGUUGUUGCGGUUCAGUGUGUUCAAAAUGAGGUUGUCAGACUACAUACCAUUCCCUAUCGCAAUGGUCGCAAAAGCAGUUCGGGAGAAGCUUGGCAAUGUAAGUUCAUACUCAAAUGUCCAGUAGUUCUUUCCAUCAAUCGUACGCUGCAUACAAUAUUCGAUGAUAUUUUAUUAUUAAGGCCAAAAGUUGAAGUUACCGAAUUCAUCUAGCAAGACUCCUAUGAAGCAAUGAACACUGCUCUUGAGUAUGUAAAAGUUUGCUGACAUACGCAUAUGAAGAACAUGCGAGGCAUAACAAACUAGAGAGGUCACUGCCCCUUUAUGAGAUAUCUAUUUAGUUACGAUUUAAACGUCAAAAAGCAACAAACCUCCUGCAUCUCAUAGAUUGUCGGCACUUGAGUUGGUGCAGCAUAUACAUCCUUUACCAAAUCGAAAAUUGCCUGCCGCGCAAAUAGAAAUGCUACUCAGUACGAAAUUUUAUGUUUUUAUAACUUUAUGAAUAAGCUCUACUUCAUAUGCCGGAUAUAUCUAUAUCUCAAAAUGCUACUCUCAGUUCAUAUGACUGAUGCAUCUCUAAAUUACCUCCUCCAUCGGACCCAAAUCACGAAUAUCUUUUUUAUCGGUCGGGAUAAAGCAAACUCUCACAUGCUGCAAUGCUGCGAAACGAUCUUUGAAUGCAGAAUCAUGCCCGAGGAAGUCAAAAUCCUGCAGCCACACAAAUUGAAAAGAGGCGUAAAAUUCAACUGCUUCCAUUCAACUGGUUUGCUGAGGAGAAUUCAUUUUUUAACGUUUGGUUAGUUUGCAUACGCAUGUAACAACUUACCCUCCAAUCUGAGGGAUAGUAAUAGGAAUAUCCAUCCUCGUAAUCCACAAAAGCUCGAUAAUUAUCCGGUACUCCUACAAUCUUGAAACAAGUUAGCAUGUAUAAGGUGGCAUAUAUAAGAUUACUAAACCAAAUGAUGGAAAGAUUCAUCAACAAAAUCAGUUCCAUGUGAAAUUCUACGUAAUUGUUUACUACUCUUCACCGUAGAAAUGGUUUCAGUAUGACGAAAAAAGAAAAUAAAUGCAGGCAAUGAUCACAGAAAGAGAGGGAAAAAUGAGAGAGAGAGAGAGAGAGAGAGAGAGAGCGAAUGAUGAUGCUACCUUCAGCAGAUGCAGAAGUGGAAUGUAACAGGCCAGAAACCAAUGCACCAGUUGCAACUAGCAUCCAUCUUCUUUUCAUAGAAGCUGUAAUAGGUAAUCUAACAUUACAAAUUUGUGGAAAGAAAAGAAGGCCUUCACACUUGAAAUAUCUGAUAAAGUUGAAUAUGAUUUACUAAUAUGGUGACAUGUAUUGAUAUGAUAGUCCGUGCACUUCGCCCCGUACUAGUUCACUCAAACACUUCAGUCUCUCGAUUUUUACAAAUGCUGCACUUUGUAAUUAAAGGGCUAAACAGGCCGUUCUCAAUUCUACAAGAGAACUAAGAAUUUUUUUUUCUGUUUUAUAGUCGACGAAUAAAGUGCAAUGUAUAUAAAAGUUCAACGAUUAAAAUGUUUAAGUGAGAAGUGCAGGGUCCAAGCCAGAAUAUUGGCGUUAAGUGUAGUACAGGAAUGUCCUAUUCAUACAUUUUACCCUUAGUAAUGUUGAACCAAUAUUUAGAUUAUAAACAUUGAUCUUCUGAAUAUCUUCCAUCCCAAAGAUUAGUACCAGAAAUGAGCAGGAAAACUUAAAAAAAAAGGGGAAAAGAGAAAAAUCAUUGAAGAUGAUGCACUGUGUCUUACUGGACAAGCACGUAGUACAUACUACAUAUCACAUAAAAAGGAAAAUAAUUCACAUUUCUUCCAUACUUUCAACUUUUAAACCGAAACAAAUUUUAAAUUAACCUUUUACAAAAUUCAAUCAUAUACAAUAUCAGCCAAAACCCGUCACUUCUCUCUUUCUAUAAUUCAGAAAAAAAAAAAAGAAAAUUUACAAAAAAAAAAAGAAUUAGAAAAAAAAAAUAGAGAUGAAAUUUGAGAGCUCAUGGCACCUGGUUGGGAAGGGAACAAAUCCAGUGGGAUAAAGCUGCCAUUUUUGGCGGAUUUGAGGAGGAAAAUUUUGAAGCAGAACGAUUCAGCUAAUUAGAGAGUAGUACAUAAAUGAGUGUGUGUGUGUGUGUGUGUGAGUUUCCCUUUAUCUAAAGCUCCCAAGUUCGUAGGCUUAAUAUAUAGAGUCCGUGUGUGUGUGUGUGUGUGUGUGUGUGUAUGUGUGUGGGUGAAAGCAAAUGUUGCCCUGUCGCAGUCGCCCCUUAUCCGUCUCAUGAAAACCUGGUGGAGCUCGCUUCGACUAAAUUUUGUUGCGGUUAAAAAUGUUGAAAUAAGGAUAAGAAAAAUACUGAAGUAAUUUAAAUCUAACUGUUUCAAUUUUAAUAGAUGAUCAUGUUAACUAUAAAGCAUAACACAAUUCCCCGUUCAAUUAGCACAAAAACCAUUGAAUUUAUCAAAACUAUAACUUAGUCGAAAUUAGCUCAAAUCAAAAUAAUCAAAAGCUAAGAAAGAAAAAAAAAACAAUUGAGGGAACAGGCCGAGAAUUUGUUAUUCGACUAAACUAUAGCCCUUCACAAAAGAGGGAAGAGAAAAGAGAGGCACACAUUUUCAACUGUUCAAGCAUAGAAGGCCCGUGACCACAACUUGUAACACAACAUUUAGCAUGUGUAUAAUCAAGAUCUAUCGAGCAGCAGUGCGCAUAUAAGCAACAGCUAGAGACCCCUCGGGACAGGCUUGACCAACCCAAGUCCCGUGCCGCUGCCCAAGUGCUUGAAGUCGGUCGCCUCCAAUUUGUCGUCGUGCCCGGCAAACCCCGUCCCGCCUCUCUCCAAGGGAACCAAGUUCCUCACUUUGCACUCCCUACUACACACCAAGCACACCCUGUCGGUCGCCACAAACUUAUCUGCGCACUUCUUACAGAACACGUGGCCGCACGUGGUGAGAGCCACGAGCGACAUCGUGUUCGUCAGGGUCACUUUGCAGCUGGGGCAGAUGUAGUUGCUGUCCGAACUCCUGGUCUUCUUCUGACCAUUACCAGUAUCUUCCGUGAAGUAGAUGGGGAAAAGGGCUUUUAGCUUCAGCUUCUCUUUUCCCUCGGGGCAAAUAGUGUCGGUGGAGGGAGCUUCGACUUUGACCGAGGCGCCUGGAGUAGCCGACGGGAGCCAAAAGGCCUUCAUGUCGCGGAGGGCUUCCUCUUCGUAGGAAGUUACUUUUACACUGUUCGCCCCGUGGAAGCCAUUCUUGUCAUGCGUGUUGCUCUUGUCGUUAUUAUACUGCGGGACGGCGCCGUGGUUCUGCUGAUCAAAAGCCUCUAGUUCUCGGGCUUUUUGCAGCAUCAGCUUCUCUUCUUGCUCUUCUUUCUCUUGAUUUUGUUGAGCAGCAUGGGCAGCAAGUUUCCUGGAGCAUAUAAAGAAUGAAGAUCAACUUUACUAAAUCAAAGAUGAGGUUUUGGACAGACAUCAAACAAAAGUUGCAACUAAUGGAUGAUAAUACAAUUCUUCUUGAGGUUCGAUGUUAGACCAAAUUAUUUGCUAAUUGCACACGUCCAUUAGGUGCGAUAUGAAUACAUAGGGGUUUUCUUUUAAUUAUACUGACACCUUAGGAUAGUAAAACUUCCCCUACAAGAUGAUUUAUUCUGUUCGGAGAGAAAUAACUAAGAGGUCUCAGGUUGCAUUCACUAUGCAAUCGUAGAAUCUUCUCAUACUCUCUAUCAACCAAUUAAACGUGUUCCUUGAGUAAACAAAAAGGAGAAGCACCCACCCAAUGCUUCUCCCACGGCAGUUCGAGUUACCGUUAUAUAACAUCAUACAUGAAAACUUCUAAAGCAUUUUUUAGAUUUUACGAGACCCUCUAAAGCAUCAAAGUGGGUGAGUUUGGCAACGACACUCCCAAACUAGCCCUUAGUUUGGGAAUCCCUAUAAAGCCUUACUAUGGCACGUUUGGCGUGAUGAGAUUUUUAACAAAAGACGACUUGAUAAAAGGGAAGUUGGUGUUAGAAAAUUUGUGUCUUUUGUUCAGAUGCUUUGGCCAAUCAACAAAUGGUCACACAGACAGAUCAAUAAAAAACACUUUAUGUUAUCUUCUAAACAAUCUAAGCCAGUUAAAUGCUGCCUACAAAUACACUAAAAUUGAGAUCACACCUGAUGACCCUUUUAACACUCUUUUAAGUGGAGGUCAGUGCUGGAACUCAGAUUGAAUCACUUGGCAAAUUUUGAAGAUGAAGCUUAAAAUAAACGGCGAUCCGGUAAAAGUACCUUCAAUUUCAGCCCCCUUUCUUUUUCAAUAAAUAAGUUUCACGUACCAAUUCAAACAUUACCAAAUUUACUAAACAUCAACACAUGAACCUACUUUAUCACAGAUAUAGCAUCUUUAAAAACUAACAUACUCAACGAAAUUAUAAAUUUAUCAACAGUAAUCUUAACAAUAAAUCAACAUAAUUAACCUCAACGUAAUUCCCCCAAUUCUCCACAAAAACUACGGUAGCCAAAAACACAAAACAUAGAUCACACAUCAAAGCGCCCACAACAGAUCCAACGAGAUCAAACAAAACGAACAUGGAUUGGAAUCAGAAGAAAGAGUGGAAUUAUAUGAAACCCUAACCUCUUGAUGUCCUUCUUUUGGGCGAGGAGGCACUCGAGGAUGCACUCCUUGCAGAAGACGUGGCCCUUUUGGCAACAGAGGGGGUCGAUGAAGGGCUUGAGGCAGAGGCAACACGCGUCGAAGGGCUUGAUCGAGUCCUUGCCGAGGCGCUCCCGCUGCGUCCCGUACCCGAGCUUCCGCUUCUCCUCGUACGUGAAGAACGCGAGGUCAUUGUUGUUCUUCGAGUGCCGCUGCGGCAUCCUCCCUUCUUCGUCUCUAACCCUAACCCUAACCCUAACCCUAACCCUAACCCUAGAGAUCGGAGGAGGGAGAGGGAGAUAGAAGCUUCUGUUGGUGUCGAGGAGAGGCGGUGAUCGAGACCACGAUAAGGUUGAAUGUUGGAUUUCGGAUAAUUUAUCUGCUUAUUAUGUCACGACCCGUACCCGAUACCGACUCGGACAAAAAUUGUACGAAGACCCCUCGAAUAUAAGACGGUUUGGAAUAAGGUCUUCUAAUUUUUCUUUUUUUUAGAGAAAUUACUUGCACUAUUAGUCCCUGAACAUUCACUUUAGUUCUGUUUGGCCCUUAAAAUUUUACUAUUAUUAUUACAUCUAAAUCUUAUAAUUCAAUUUAUAAAUAUAGAAAGUACUGCACAUAAAAUUGUUAAUUGACAAAAUUAAAAUACGUGAUGAUAGAAAAUUAAAGGUUAAUAAAUGUAAGGUGCAUGAUUCCAGAGGUGCUCCAACUCCAUGGAUAGACACUAGACUCUUUUCCCUUGCAAUAUGUAAUUGCUGAGCAAUAACCAAAAAUUAAAAUUUUAAACAUAAAACUGUGUAAACUUCUAAAACUUUAAUGUGUUGACCUCAUUGAUAAAAAUAAAAAUAUAGCUGAGUGGGUACAUUGGACUUAUUAUUUGUUAUUAAAUUUUUUGUUCUAUAGUUUUUUCUAUUUAAAUUAGUUAAUUUUUAAUUUAAAAUUUUGAAUAUUAAUUGUUUAACAUUUUACGGUCUGCAUAAGAGGAAGUUUACUGUGUAAUAUUUAUACCACAUCAUCUACUUCCAGCCAGUCAUAUUUUUUUCUUUGAAAGAAAAAAUAUAUAAUUUUUUUUUAAAAAAAAUCAUGAUGAAAUGGAUGAAUCUUAAAAGAGUAUUUUGAUUAAUUAAAAAACACCAUAUUAGUAAUAUAAGUGUUGAAUUUUAGAAUUUUUCGCAAAAGCGGCUAUUGUCACCAUUUGUUUAGUUGGAAGUUAAGGGGUGGAAUAACUCCUUAACCCCCAUAUUAUCUCUAAACAUCCCAAAAAUGGGUGGGGUUAGCUAACCCCACCUAAUCCAGGAUAGCCCAUUUUGGGUGAGGUUAGCUAACCUCACCUAACCCCACCAAAUUUCAACCAAACAUUAUUUUCUAUUCAUAAUAAUCCACUAUCCUUCUUAUUCCAUAUACUCCAACCAAACACUAUUUUUUACUAUUCUGGACUAACUCCAACCCCCAACCAAACAUAAAAAUACUCUAUUCCCAUCUUAACCCUGAACUUAAUCCUAUUUUUAAAAUAACUAGUUUUUUCUUAAUCCCGAACCAAGCGAUCUGAAAAAGAUUAGAGAGUACUGGAGCAUGUGAAGAGAAGUUGGAAGAACGUGAGAAGGGACAAAAUGGUGGUGGUAUCCAACCAACCAAAAAUGGGGACGCGUCCGUGAAUUUAUGACCUUUUUUACACAUGAAAAUUAAAUUCUAAACAGUUAAACUAAACCCAGGUGCCAUGAGAUUCAGAUGCUCCCUCUUCAAAUGCUUUACUAUCUUUUAUUAUUAUUAUUUAAUUUGAGGGAUUAUUUAACAAUCUUUGGGAGCCCGAAAACAGAGUGAGAAUCUAUUUUUAUAUUUUAAAGAGUAGAAUAUUUAAAAUUAUUUUUAAAUUUAUUUUGUCUAAAUAAUAAAUUAUUGAUAAACAUUAUUAUCAUCGCAAAUGCAUAUAAGAGAGGCACGGUAUACUAGCCAUUAAUAACUAAUGUAAGUCGUAAAUGGAGCUCAUAAUCAGAGCCCAUAAACAGGAGUGAAAGAACUAUACUGCUGGAUUUUCUUUUUUUUUUACUUCUAAUCCUCAUUAGAGUAAGCACGUUCAGAUUAUAUAGGAUAUUUGGCAUGCAAAUUUUCAGAAUAUACAGUGCAUUAGUUAUUCUUUAAUGAGUAAGCAAACUCACGAAAACUCUGCUAAUAAACUUAUAGAAUUAUUAGUCUUAAUCAUUAAUUUGACUGUGAUUCGAUCUAACGCGAUUUUCUGUCAUUUCGAACGUAAUUCGGUUAUACUCAAGCUUCCGUCUUUUUGAACAUGACUCGAUCUGAUAGCCCGAUGCUAAUUUUGUAAGCGAACGAAGUAUAAUUGCGAGGUACAAAAAUUAUGGCAUUUAAGAGUUCUACCUAGGAACACUCUAAUUAAAGAAAAAGAAGAAACACUUCACAUGGUUGCAUCAGGCUUUAAUGAUGAACCCCUCUCAUGAACUCUGUUUCCAUCUCGUUUGUAAGCGGAGGAGCCCAUCAACCUCAAACAGCUGCUGACACUUCCAACACCACCUCCACCUCCAUUCCCAUUUCCCACNGGUCCCUGAACAUUCACUUUAGUUCUGUUUGGCCCUUAAAAUUUUACUAUUAUUAUUACAUCUAAAUCUUAUAAUUCAAUUUAUAAAUAUAGAAAGUACUGCACAUAAAAUUGUUAAUUGACAAAAUUAAAAUACGUGAUGAUAGAAAAUUAAAGGUUAAUACAUGUAAGGUGCAUGAUUCCAGAGGUGCUCCAACUCCAUGGAUAGACACUCGACUCUUUUCCCUUGCAAUAUGUAAUUGCUGAGCAAUAACCAAAAAUUAAAAUUUUAAACAUAAAACUGUGUAAACUUCUAAAACUUUAAUGUGUUGACCUCAUUGAUAAAAAUAAAAAUAUAGCUGAGUGGGUACAUUGGACUUAUUAUUUGUUAUUAAAUUUUUUGUUCUAUAGUUUUUUCUAUUUAGAUUAGUUAAUUUUUAAUUUAAAAUUUUGGAUAUUAAUUGUUUAACGUUUUACCACCUGAUUGGGGACGGUCUGCAUAAGAGGAAGUUUACUGUAUAAUAUUUACACCACAUCAUCUACUUCCAGCCAGUCAUAUCUUUUUUUUUGAAAGAAAAAAUAUAAUAAUUUUUUUAAAAAAAAUCAUGACGAAAUGGAUGAAUCUUAAAAGAGCAUUUUGAUUAAUUAAAAAACACCAUAUUAGUAAUAUAAGUGUUGAAUUUUAGAAUUUUUCGCAAAAGAGGCUGUUGUUACUGUUUAUUUGGUUGGAGGUUAAGGGGUGGAAUAACCCCUUAACCCUCAUAUUAUCUCCAAAUACUCCAAAAAUGGGUGAGGUCCGUCUAACCCCACCUAAUCCAGAAUAGCCUAUUUUGGAUGGGGUUAGCUAAUCUCACCUAACUCUACCAAAUUCCAACCAAACAUUAUUUUCUAUUCAUAAUAAUUCACUAUUCUUUUUAUUCCAUAUACUCCAACCAAAUAUUAUUUUUCACUAUUCUGAACUAAAUACUCUAUCCCCAUCUUAACCCUGAACUUAACUCUAUUCCUAAAAUAACUAAUUUUUUCUUAAUCCCGAAACACACGAUCUGAAAAAGAUUAGAG
rnacentral:lncRNA from 1 species